CAGAAACUUAAGUCCACUAAUUCCAUUGAUAGACAAAUAACCACCAAGCAUAAGUUCACAAUUUCAUAGCAUAUGACCACAAAAUAUGUACAAAAUAUUCGAAGCACACACACAUCAUAAUUCAAUCCAUCUCCCCUUUUUGCAUCAACCGAAAAAGAAAAUAAGAGAGGUCUCAAAACACAAAGAUAAAUAUCCAUGCAUAUAGCAAGUUAAAGUAGCAAACUAACAACAAAUAAAGAAACCAGUAGCAUGAUAAAAUAGCAAACACAAAACAGCAGCAGAUUCAAGGAUUAAGUCUUUUGCUCCUUCGAAUGGACUUCUUUACUAACUUGCUUCCAUAUGCCUUCAGUGAGUCCUCAGCUAGCUGCAUGGAGCGAACCUCUUUGAAAGCCAAAGCUACCACAAUGGCAAAGGUACCUACUGAUUUUCUUAUAGUUCACCAUAUGGCAAAACAGUGGAAAUAUCUUCUAGGGGUGCAAACUGUUGCAGGGAUUUCUUCUUUGCUAGGGAAGGAACAACCUCCUCUUCUGAUUCUUGUUCCUUAUCAGAUUCAACUUUUCUUCUGAAGUUUCUUCCUCUUCUUCUGAUUCCCUUUCACCUUCUUCCUUACUCUCAUUCUAAGAUUCCUCUUCAGGCUUAUUUUCCUUUCCUUGUUCAUCCCCAUUUUUAGAAUUAUUAGAACCAUCAUCAUCAUCUUCAGCAUCAUCUCCAUCAUCAUCAUCAUCAUCAUUUCAUCAUCACCACCUUCCUCAGUCUCAGAUUCAAUUUCUAGCUUCUUUUUCAAGACCUCAACUUCUUUAUCAAGCUUCAGCACAAUAUUGAUAACAAGAUCUAUCUUCUUGUCUAAGUUAAGCAUGAAAUCCUCUUGAUAUUUCAUAAAGAAAUUUUCGGCAUCAAAUCCAAUAUCAAACAAUUGCCCCAAAUUAUCAAAUUUCUCUGAUAUUGUUUUAGAAAAACCGCUUCCUUGAUGUCUAGAUUUUCUUCCAUCAUCCUCAGGUGGAAUACCUCAGUAGGUGUCACAUGACUCCUAAACUGCUCUUGUUCCAAUUUAAGCUAAAAUGAGUUGAACAGGGCAGAAAGCAAAAUAAAAUAGCAAACUAAUGAUAGAACACAAUAUCAGUAUAACAAACUAUUUUCAUUUGCUACUAGUACACAAAAAAUGCAAUCUAUAGAAAAUGAUUUUCAAUCAAUUUGAACAUGAAUUGAAAUGCUCCAAACAUGUCACUAAGCAUUCAAAUUAUCAAGUAUCACUCAAUAUUCAUAUAGAUAGACAAAUAUGUAACAUAGAUUAAGCAAGAGCCUCAUUCAUGCCAAUUUUUUUUCUUAUUCUAUGAUGCAGCAUGUGGCAUUCAAAG
rnacentral:misc_RNA from 1 species